rnacentral:tRNA from 1 species
UGGGAGGUAGCUAAGUGUUUAGAGCUCUGGACUCUCAAGCCUGAGGCCCCUGAGUUCCAUCCCCGGCGUCCCAG